CUGUAACAGUCUGCUACUUUGAUACAGAGAGAAGAGAGAGUGUAUGUGUGAGUAUUCUGUAUCUGGGUCUUUAUUGCCAGAGCCUAAAAGGGUGAUAUCUUUAUAGGCAUUGAGUUUUUAAAGCCUGAGCUUUGAUGGGUUUCUUCUGUUUUAAUCCUUGGUACUCUGUGAAGGAUGUCAUGGCUAUGAUAGCUGUGCUAUGCUAUUACCUUUUGCUUCUUUUCUUGGGUUUGAAUUUCUCCCUUGUUACUGGGAGUUAUUACAUCAAGUGGGGGAAAGAAUGUUAAAUGCUAAAGUUGGUGGUGGUUGAAUAGAAGAAGUGUAGGUGGUGAAAGUAUUUGGCCAUGGCGUCAACUUCUUGUGCCAAACAGAGUCCACUGCCUAUGAAGGAACCACGCUCUACUUAUCAUUCAUAUCCAACUCCUCGAUAUGAGGAUAUUGUGGCUAGCCCGAAGCUCUUCAUGUCUACUCUUGAGAAGCUUCAUGCUACUAUGGGAACCAAAUUUAUGAUCCCCAUUAUUGGAGGAAAGGAGUUAGAUUUGCAUCGGCUCUUUGUGGAGGUUACUUCUCGUGGUGGUAUUGAGAAGGUAAGUUAAAGCUUUUAUUUUGUUUUAUUGUUCUUAUGCAAUCUGUUGUCUGAUGUUUGUUCUUUGUUAAUUUUGUUGUACACCUUGCUUUGGUUAAUGAAUUGUCCUGAUUCAAAAGACAUGGUCUUUUUU